AGGAUAGUUACUCUAAGCUACAACCACUUGCCAUCUCAUCUCAAGUCAUGCUUUUUGUAUCUAAGCAUCUUUCCUGAGGAUUCUGAAAUCAAAAGGAGGCGUUUGGUGGAGAGAUGGAUAGCCGAGGGGUUUGUUAGAGCAAGGGCUGGGGUGAACAUUGAGGAUGUGGGAGAUGGUUACUUUAAUGAGCUAAUCAACCGUAGCAUGAUUCAACCUUCCAGUGUGAACGUAGAAGGAAUAGUUAAGAGUUGUCGAGUCCUUGAUAUUGUGCGUGAUGUCAUGGUCUCAAUUUCCAGAGAUGAAAAUUUUGUGUAUGUGCCAGAAGAUAAUGUAACUAGUGUCGCACAAGAGACAUUUCGUCAUGUAGCAUACCAUGGUAGUAAGUUCCAAAAUAAUGGCAUGGAUUGGGGCCAUGUCCGGUCAUUAACCAUAUUUAGCGAGAGACCAUUGGAAUCUCCACUUUGUUCACCUAAGGCAAGAAUGCUCAGAGCCUUGGAUCUAGAGAAUUCACAGUUUGAAGUCACACAAAAAGACAUCAGUAACAUUGGAUUGCUAUGCCACCUUAAGUAUGUGAAUUUAUCUAAUCCUCAAGGAUGUUCAUAUAUUUAUAAAAUUCCUAGAUCCAUAGGAAAAUUACAAGGCUUGUGUACUUUGAACAUAAGAAACAGUUAUAUUACCGAAACGCCAACUAAGAUAAGUAAACUCAAGAGUCUACACAGUCUCCGUUGUACCAGAAAUAUUUCCUGCGAACGCUUUGACUUGGAAGGCCUCAGGAAUGCUUGCUGAAGUCAUUAUGUUUGCCCAUGAUGUUCACACCUUUGGUUGAUCCUAGUGAGCAUGCUGAGUUAGUUGCUGAUCUACACAUGACCUGGUCUAGCCGUUGGUCAGAGUCAUAUGGUGUGAGGGUGCCAAAAGGAAUUGGCAAACUAAAAGAGCUACAAAUACUAGAGGUUGUGGACAUUGGACGAACUGGAUGCAAAACAAUUAAAGAGCUAGGUGAGCUUGUGCAGCUGAGAAAACUAAGCAUGGUAAUAGAAGGGGCCACCAAGCGAAAAUUCAAGGUACUUUGUGAAUCCAUUACGAAGCUCACUUCCCUCCGCUCUCUUGAAGUGGACGGUUCACUCAAGUGGCUGCAUGUUGUUUCCUGUCCUCCUCCCCAGUUGAGGACCCUGAAGUUGGGUGGAUGCCUUGGAGAUAUUCCUGGCUGGUUUGGCAAUCUGAUGCAUUUAGUCAAGCUUUACUUAUGGGAUUCCAAACUAAAGGAAGAAGGAAAAAAUCAUGGAAAUACUAGGUUCACUUCCCAGCCUCAUGAAACUUCGUCUUGGACUGGACUCUUAUAUUGGGGAGAAGUUAGCGUUCAAAACAGGAGCAUUUGCAAAUCUCAAGAAACUUGAUAUUUCUGUUACGGCGAAACUGAGAGAGAUGAAAUUUGAGGAUGGCACCUCACCCAAGCUGCAAAUUAUAAGUAUCGACGUAUGCUACUUGAGAUCAGGAGUGAUUGGUAUCAACCACCUUCCAAGGCUCAAGGAGAUCUCACUUGGCUACGAAGCUCAUGUGGCGAAGCUUGUUAUGCUGCAAAGUGAAGUGGAGGCGCACCCCAAUAGUCCCUUGCUGCGACUGUAUACGCAACGGAGCCACCACGACCUGGGGGACAUCAUCGUCCAAGUGGAAGAAGCAACGGGGGAAUCAUCAUCUCUCCAUCCUGGGACUGCAGCAGUGGGAGAGAGCUCACGAUCCUAGGUGAUGGCCAUAGCCAUGACAAGUGUCAGCCAAGAUGAUCUGCUUUACACUUACAACUCGUGCUGACUAAAUCGGAGCAAGGCUACUUCCAGUUCCACCAUGUAACACUAUGCUGUUUGUGUCCAAGCAUUUUUAAGCUGCAUAUGCUUAUAUAUAGCAGAAGCAUGGAUUAGUUGAGGAGUUGAGUUGGGCCCAAUGGCGUUCAACAUUGUAUUCAGAACGCUGGGCGCGUAGGAGACGAGGAUGAUCCAAUCUCUCAGGCAGAAUUAACGGUUGGACCUGGUGGCUUCGAUGACAAUGAACUCUUAACUGUAAAUUCAUCAACUUGAUGUCAAAUCCUAUUUUGCUGGACUAAAUCAGCUUCGGGUUACAGCUGGAAUAUCAAUUGACUGUGUCUUGCACUGUUCAUCACAUAAUCUCUUGGUAAUUAUCAGUAGAGUAUUGUUCACUAGUAGUCUCCCUGGGGGACGCGUACAAGUGGAAAAAGCAAUGACGGAGAGAGCUCCUUGCAGCUGCCCAUGACAAG